UGCACUGACUGGUUACAGUGCGACGCUGUGUCUUUACACAAUAAACGGGUGUGUGAUAUACAUUUCAGUAACGACUGCAGAAUGCACAUCGGAUCAAACAAGUUAAUUCCGUUUGCAGUUCCAAACAAGGACUUGCCAGGAUUUCAUGAAUCACCGUGCAAGGAAAAUUCCCAAGCUACAUGGUUCUAUGAGGUUAAUGGCUGUGGCAGAUAUUUUACUUUGGAGCCUCAAACCAUUCUGCCUGUGGCGUCAGUUGUCAUGGACAUAGACAAACCUUCAGAAGCAGCACCAGCCGAACAAAGCACUUUAAUGACUCCUACAAAGCAGGAAGCAAAAUUUUGGGUGUAGAGCCUGUGACGUCUUUGAAGCAAAGUAAGUGAAGAAUAUUGCCUGCUGUGAAUGUAACACGAUUGCAUGAACUUACUCCAAAGGCAUCUGUGUUAUACAAGAAAGUGACAUGGCUCCAUAAAAAGACGGCACGUCAAUGUGAGGCAGUGAAAAGUCUCAAAUCAAGAGUAGAUCUUGCAAAACAGUUUGGAAAAAGCAAAUCAUACAACCAUUUAUUGAAACAUGUGGCUUGAGGUUAUCACAGAGCGGGACAGGUUAGAAAUUCUGCAAAACCAAUGGACACCAGAUAUUUCCUACUCGUUUCCUAAAGGGGAAAACGCAACCUCAAGUUCCAGCACAACUGGUUGAACAGAUGGAAAUGGUUGCUGUAUUCUAAAUUUACAGAUGGCGCAUACUGUAAGUACUGUGCUUGGUUUUGCUGUGGGAGUGGAGCAGGUAGGGGAUACCAAGCUUUAGGCGUACUAGUCAAGAAGUCAUUAGUAAGUAAGUAAGGCAUUAUCUGUGCGAGAUAAACUGGACAUUAUUGAAAAGGUAGACUCCAACCCCACUGUCCCGCACGUGUUAGGCCCAUUCUACAAUGACACGUAAACGGAACAGACUGAAACAGAGACGAAAACGAAGGGCUGUUCCGUUCCGUCCGUUUCUCGUUCUACAAUACACGGACCCGUAAGAUAUUUCUGAGCUCUUGUAAUCAAUUUUUGAGCUCAGGAUUCAAGAGAUUAAAACUAAACAAAACCCACGUGCACAAUUCAAUAUUCAUACACAACUCUUGUUUAGUUGUUACGGUACAAAAAAAAAGCCGUCAACUAAUACGGACAACAACAUUAGUCAAAACUAAUACUUUUAGGAACAUGAACGAGCAACUGUAGCUUGACAACUGCAGUGAAAAAAUAACGUGCUUUUAUUGGUCUAACGGAGUAACGUAAACGGAAGACCUCAGCACUGCCGAGCAGGUCUGUAUGGGUCCAUCUCCGUUUGCGUGCUAUUGUAGAAGCUCUGUUCCGUGAGAUCCGUCAUAGUUUCCGUGAUCCGUCUCCGUUUCCGUGUCAUUGUAGAACGGGCCUUAAUAGCAAAGGAACUGGGAAUUGCAAUAUCCACAUUAAGUACAAUAUUAAACAAGCUGAACAAUCUUCUUUCUCAAGCUGCGAAUACGUCACAGAGUAUUAAACGCCUGAAAAAAGGAAAAUACGCCGAUGUCGAAGAACCAUUAAUAGAAAGUUUGUACAUGUGUAGUGCAUUAAAAAUAAUAUCUGCAUUUGUUCAUAAAACUGUUGCUUUGACUAUUUUCAUUCGUUCUUUUCUUGGCUUAGGCCUAUGUGUAGUUAAGAUUUUGCUUUUGAGUAUGUAUUGCCAAUAUAAAACUUUUCCCAGAUAUAAAGUUUCCCCUCUAUAGUGAACAUAUAAACUACUCCCUACAGAUUAAUUAAUUAUAACAGGGUUCUACUGUAUGUAAAUAUAAGCUCAUUUAAACACUAUUUGGGAAUACAGAAAAAAAAAAGUUUUUGAUGUAAAACUGAACUGAAACUCAAUUGACCAAUUAAAACCAGAACAGCACAGCCCUAGUAAUAACCUAUCUUCUCAUUUGUUUACACUUAAAUGUUUUAGAAAUUUUACAGGUUAGGCCAAGAAAUAAAUGUUAUUGGUAUGUGAAGACAUGUUACAUUGUGUUAAAUGCACGUUUAGCCCCGCCCCUAUGUUAGAAAUGUACACAUUGUGUAGGUUCUGCUCUGAUUAUCCAAAUGAUAAAGAGUUGGUGUACUGCUUUAUUUUGUACCUACCACUUGUCUUAAUGAUUUCAACAGUAAGUUAUUUUAGACUUUUGGUUUAAUUUAUGUUAUAAAGAUGAUCUUACUUAUAUUA